GUGGUUGGCAAAGUGAGCAAAGGCUAAAGGGUUUCUCCUUUCCAGCACUUCAUGGUUACCUCCUAGACGUGUUCCAUCCAAUGGCUUACUGAGCAUUUUCCAUAUUCGCUCAGAACCCUUUCCAUCAGCUUGCAUGAUGUGCUUAGGCUCAGGAAGAGACGACCCAUCCCAUAUUUCCCGAGAUUCACCACCAGCACCCCAGGGCUGUGCAUUUAUCACAGUUCCAUCAUACCGUGUGAUCAAAUAUGAAUUUUGGGCGUCAACUCUUGGAUAUCCAGGAAUAUAGCGGUAGUAUGCAGGGGAGUAGAUUACACCAGGAUAUACUGCUAACACAGUACCAACAUCAGCUUCACCACGUAUGAAUAAACCUUGCCCAGCAUCCUCAUGUGGAAUUUGAGAAGGUUUGACCUCGAGAGUAUAGCCCAUAAGAUCCUUUAAACUCUGUGAAAC
rnacentral:misc_RNA from 1 species